AGUGAACGCUGGCGGUAGGCCUAACACAUGCAAGUCGAACGGCAGCACAGUAAGAGCUUGCUCUUACGGGUGGCGAGUGGCGGACGGGUGAGGGAUACAUCGGAAUCUACUUUUUCGUGGGGGAUAACGCAGGGAAACUUACGCUAAUACCGCAUACGACCUACGGGUGAAAGCAGGGGAUCUUCGGACCUUGCGCGAUUGAAUGAGCCGAUGUCGGAUUAGCUAGUUGGCGGGGUAAAGGCCCACCAAGGCGACGAUCCGUAGCUGGUCUGAGAGGAUGAUCAGCCACACUGGAACUGAGACACGGUCCAGACUCCUACGGGAGGCAGCAGUGGGGAAUAUUGGACAAUGGGCGCAAGCCUGAUCCAGCCAUACCGCGUGGGUGAAGAAGGCCUUCGGGUUGUAAAGCCCUUUUGUUGGGAAAGAAAAGCAGCAGGUUAAUACCCCGCUGUUCUGACGGUACCCAAAGAAUAAGCACCGGCUAACUUCGUG
rnacentral:rRNA from 1 species